AGAAUCAACGCUGGCGGCGUGCCUAACACAUGCAAGUCGCACGAGAAAGUGGAGCAAUCCACGAGUAAAGUGGCGCACGGGUGAGUAACACGUGAAUAAUCUACCUCCGAGUGGGGAAUAACUGAGAGAAAUCUUAGCUAAUACCGCAUAAUACCCAGGGUCAAAGCAGCAAUGCGCUUGGAGAGGAGUUCGCGGCCGAUUAGCUAGUUGCGGGUAAUGGCCCACAAGGCGAUGAUCGGUA
rnacentral:rRNA from 1 species